UUGGAGGGCAAGUCUGGUGCCAGCAGCCGCGGUAAUUCCAGCUCCAAUAGCGUAUAUUAAAGUUGUUGCAGUUAAAAAGCUCGUAGUUGAAUUUCGGGAUCAAUAUGUCGGUCGUGCCUUCGGUACGUACUGGUAUCAUUGGUCUCUCCUUUCUGACGAACCAUGAUGUCAUUAAUUUGGUGUUAUGGGGAGUUAGGACUGUUACUUUGAAAAAAUUAGAGUGUUUAAAGCAGGCUUUAGCUUGAAUACAUUAGCAUGGAAUAAUGAAAUAGGACGUUCGAACCUAUUUUGUUGGUUUCUAGGAUCAACGUAAUGAUUAAUAGGGAUAGUUGGGGGCAUUAGUAUUCAAUUGUCAGAGGUGAAAUUCUUGGAUUUAUUGAAGACUAACUACUGCGAAAGCAUUUGCCAAGGAUGUUUUCAUUAAUCAAGAACGAAAGUUAGGGGAUCGAAGACGAUCAGAUACCGUCGUAGUCUUAGCCAUAAACUAUGCCGACUAGGAAUCAGACGAUGUUAAUUUUUUAAUGACUCAUUCGGCGCCUUACGGGAAACCAAAGUGUUUGGGUUC
rnacentral:rRNA from 1 species